rnacentral:rRNA from 1 species
UACGUAGGUGGCAAGCGUUGUCCGGAAUUAUUGGGCGUAAAGCGCGCGCAGGCGGUCCUUUAAGUCUGAUGUGAAAGCCCACGGCUCAACCGUGGAGGGUCAUUGGAAACUGGGGGACUUGAGUGCAGAAGAGGAGAGUGGAAUUCCACGUGUAGCGGUGAAAUGCGUAGAGAUGUGGAGGAACACCAAUGGCGAAGGCAGCCUUCUGGGCCAACACUGACGCUCAUGCACGAAAGCGUGGGGAGCAAACAGG